rnacentral:rRNA from 1 species
CACGCAGGCGGUUUGUUAAGUCAGAUGUGAAAUCCCCGGGCUCAACCUGGGAACUGCAUCUGAUACUGGCAAGCUUGAGUCUCGUAGAGGGGGGUAGAAUUCCAGGUGUAGCGGUGAAAUGCGUAGAGAUCUGGAGGAAUACCGGUGGCGAAGGCGGCCCCUCGGACGAAGACUGACGCUCAGGUGCGAAAGCGUGGGAGCAAACA